rnacentral:rRNA from 1 species
AUUGAACGCUGGCGGCAUGCUUUACACAUGCAAGUCGAACGGUAACAGGCCGCAAGGUGCUGACGAGUGGCGAACGGGUGAGUAAUGCAUCGGAACGUGCCCAGUCGUGGGGGAUAACGCAGCGAAAGCUGCGCUAAUACCGCAUACGAUCUCUGGAUGAAAGCGGGGGACCGAAAGGCCUCGCGCGAUUGGAGCGGCCGACGUCAGAUUAGGUAGUUGGUGGGGUAAAGGCCCACCAAGCCAACGAUCUGUAGCUGGUCUGAGAGGACGACCAGCCACACUGGGACGGAGACACGGCCCAGACUCCUACGGGAGGCAGCAGUGGGGAAUUUUGGACAAUGGGCGCAAGCCUGAUCCAGCAAUGCCGCGUGCAGGAAGAAGGCCUUCGGGUUGUAAACUGCUUUUGUACGGAACGAAACGGUCCUGGUUAAUACCUGGAGCUAAUGACGGUACCGUAAGAAUAAGCACCGGCUAACUACGUGCCAGCAGCCGCGGUAACAC